UUAUCUGUGCUAGUUUUUACUUUGGUUUUAGUAUUUUUUUUUUUGAUAAGCUUUACGUCAAAAAAUUGUUUUGAAUUUGAAUUUUGAAUUUGAUUUGAAUUUGAAUUUCUGGGCUGAAUGCGCAAGUUUAGACUAAAAUUAAAGUAAAUUUUAUUUUUAGCCAUUUGUGCUGUACCUUUAUUGAAAGUUUUAACGGCUAUUUCUACAAUCUAUUUAAUAAACAAAAGUACUACAAUGGAAGAGACAAAUCUAAAGAUAGAUAUACCAAAAGUUUGCACAAAGCUAGCUGAAGACUAUGUAAGCACUAUAACUCAACGUCGUGCUGCAGGAAUGGAAAAAGAAAAAUGGUUUGACCAAUGGCUUCUAGAGGAACUUGAUAAUGGCAGAGAUAUGUACGAGACAUUUGGAAAUUUAACAGCAAUAAAUCCAAGUGUCGCGAAAAUGUAUUCUGAAGAGAAUUUUUUGGCUUUGGCACAGAAAAUAGAAGAAAAUACAGAAUUAAUUUGUCAGCUCGAGUACUUAUACAGAAAUAUUCCAAUUAGUGAUACAAAAAAUGUUGAUUUGAAAUUGAUAAUGCAAAGCCUCAUUUAUAGAAGUUCAUUUGUGCAAAGUCCACUUUAUUCUCCUCAUAAAGAAGUGCAUUUUAAAAGCGACACACCUCUAUAUGUACUUGGCUACAUGGCAUAUUGUCCACCUGAUAGCCAAUUCUUAAUUAUUUGCAGGAAAACCACAGUAACCAUAGGCAAUCUUUUUUGUGAACUCUGCAAAGAAGCUGGCAUACUUGUGAUGAUAUCCCUUUAUCCAGAAGACGAUAUGCAAGUAUCUGAGGUGUUGCACGAGACGCCAGAAGGCUGCGUGGGCGUGCUCAGUGCGUGCAGCGAUGUGGACUCCGCCGUGGACGCGUUUGUUGCCGCGUCCGCGAGGACGGUUGCGCCGUACCCGUGGCGGCUGCGCUGGCUGUUGGUGCAGGAGAGCGCCAUGGAGCGCUUCACGCGCGCACUCGAGUCGCGCCCGCCGGCCGAGCGGCGCGCCUUCGCGCUGGAGCACGGCGGCGUACUGCCGCCCGGCGCCGUGCCCGUGGAGGCGUACCGCACCACGCGCGAGGCGCUGGCGCUGGUGGCGGCGCGCGCCCCGUUCGCCGUGGCCGCGUUCGCCGCGGACGCCGCCGAGGCGAACGAGGUGGCGUUCGCCGCGCGCGUGCCGCUCGUGUGGAUCAACGGGCACGGCGCGUUCGGCGGGCCGCCGCUGGGCGCCGCGGCGGUGUACUUGCGCGAGGCGCGUCGUCCGGCCGGUCUGCCGGACCGCGCGCGCUGGCUGGCGCUCGCACCGGCGACGCGUCGUACGAGACUCUGCGAAGCGCUGCACAAAUUCAGCGACUACGAUCCGCAAUAUGACAGCGUAUUGGAUAUAAGCUGCGACUCCGCUGUCGCAGUCGACGGCCGUCUGUGGAUUGCUACUAAAACACUUGUAGACUUCCUUGUAAUCAAUCCACGCCAAUAUAUUCUUCAUGUCAACGCCGCCUACCCUGACCCCACCCAGAGUGAUAAUGCUUCGAACAAAUCGAGUAUUUCCGAGAGUAAUGCUGUAAUGUCCUUUACGCAAGUCCUCAACUACUUGUUGGCGGGCGGCGCGGUGCUGAUGGAUUCUUGGGGAUCGUCGGACGCCGAUCGCCUCAAAGCUCUAGUCGCGUUGUUGUCGGAGGUGGGCGCGCCAGUCGCGUGGGUCAGCGAGAAGACUUCUAAGAACUACCCCCCGACUUACACGACCUACACUGUUAAAACGAUAAGUUCAACUAUUGGUACAAUAUUUGCAAAUUAACUACAAAACUAUUUUAAAACUGAUAAAACAUGAUAAUGGAUUUAGUGUAGGUGCAGGAUAAUCGGUGUAUCACGGUGCUGAUCAGCAUAUUAUUUAAUCACAACGACGUGCAGCACUGCCUGAUCAGCAUAUUAUUUAAUCACAACGACGUGCAGCACUGUCUGAUCAGCAUAUUAUUUAAUCACAACGAGGUGCAGCACUGCCUGAUCAGCAUAUUAUUUAAUCACAACGACGUGCAGCACUGCCUGAUCAGCAUAUUAUUUAAUCACAACGAGGUGCAGCACUGCCCGAUCAGCUUAUUAUUUAAUCACAACGAGGUGCAGCACUGUCUGAUCAGCAUAUUAUUUAAUCACAACGAGGUGCAGCACUGCCUGAUCAGCAUAUUAUUUAAUCACAACGACGUGCAGCACUGUCUGAUCAGCAUAUUAUUUAAUCACAACGAGGUGCAGCACUGCCUGAUCAGCAUAUUAUUUAAUCACAACGACGUGCAGCACUGCCUGAUCAGCAUAUUAUUUAAUCACAACGAGGUGCAGCACUGCCUGAUCAGCUUAUUAUUUAAUCACAACUAGGUGCAGCACUGCCUGAUCAGCAUAUUAUUUUCGCCACCGAAAAUUAGUCCAUCAUCUCCUAAGAGUUAAGAGAAUCUCCAUGUGAAUACCUUGUCAAGCUUUGUUUCUUUUUUAUACAAUAGAAAUAUUUUUUUUAUUAUAGAUAUAAAUAGUAGUAACUCUGAUCUGCCAUAUUAGCACUUAAAUGAGAUAUUUUUAUAAGAAUAUUAUUUACACUAAUAUUAUAGAUUUGUAUUUUUGUAUAUUGUAUGUAAUUAAUAAAUAGAGAUGUAAUGUGAAGUCAAGUUAAGACAAAUCAUAGAUUAAUACACAAUAUAUUAUCUAUA
rnacentral:misc_RNA from 1 species